AACGUAGGUGGCGAGCGUUAUCCGGAAUUACUGGGCGUAAAGCGCGCGUAGGCGGCUUUGCAAGUCGGGUGUGAAAUCCCCAGGCUUAACCUGGGAACUGCAUUCGAGACUGCAUUGCUAGAGUAUGGGAGAGGGAAGUGGAAUUUCCGGUGUAGCGGUGAAAUGCGUAGAUAUCGGAAGGAACAUCAGUGGCGAAAGCGACUUCCUGGACCAAUACUGACGCUCAUGUGCGAAAGCGUGGGGAGCAAACAGG
rnacentral:rRNA from 1 species